UAGCGGUGUCUAAUAUGCGGUGUCUAAUAUGCGGUGUCUAUAUGCGGUGUCUAAUAUGCAUAUUAGACACCGCAUAUUAGACACCAUAAAUUAGACACCGCUA
rnacentral:pre_miRNA from 1 species